GCAGCCUCAGGCCCGUGCCGCAUCCUGUUUUGAAGAAGAGAGGCUGGAAGAAAUGUGAAAUGGAAGCGGGCUCAUCUGGGGAAUCAAAUCUAAUUUCUCAAAUCCGGGAAAACCAGGAUCGAAAUCAAUUUCAUCAACAUCUGUGGUUAGUUUGCAGCCGCUAGUGGCUCCUGACCGUUGUUUGCAUUCAUGACACAGCCACAAUUUGCAGAAUUGGUCUCUAAUCAAUAGCUCACAGUCGUUCUAGAAGACCGUCUCCCGCUCAAGCUUACAAGUAAAGGCUGUGUUCUGCUGAGUGUGCUUUCCCUGUCAGUGGACAUCACAGAUAAAGGCUUUCUCUCUUUGUU